CCUACGGGGGGCAGCAGUGAGGAAUAUUGGUCAAUGGGCGGGAGCCUGAACCAGCCAAGUCGCGUGAGGGAAGACGGUCCUAUGGAUUGUAAACCUCUUUAGGCGGGGGGCAAUGCCGGGCACGCGUGCCCGGAGGGAGAGUACCCGCAGAAUAAGCAUCGGCUAACUCCGUCCCAGCAGCCGCGGUAAUACGGAGGAUGCGAGCGUUAUCCGGAUUUUUUGGGUUAAACGGGUGCGUAGGCGGAUUUUUAAGUCAGCGGUAAAAUGUCCGGGCUCAACCCGGGCCGGCCGUUGAAACUGGGGAUCUUGAGUGGGCGAGAAGUAUGCGGAAUGCGUGGUGUAGCGGUGAAAUGCAUAGAUAUCACGCAGAACUCCGAUUGCGAAGGCAGCAUACCGGCGCCCGACUGACGCUGAGGCACGAAAGCGUGGGGAUCGAACAGGAUUAGAUACCCUUGUAGUC
rnacentral:rRNA from 1 species